CCUACGGGGGGCAGCAGUGGGGAAUAUUGCACAAUGGGCGCAAGCCUGAUGCAGCCAUGCCGCGUGUGUGAAGAAGGCCUUCGGGUUGUAAAGCACUUUCAGCGGGGAGGAAGGCGUUAAGGUUAAUAACCUUGUCGAUUGACGUUACCCGCAGAAGAAGCACCGGCUAACUCCGUGCCAGCAGCCGCGGUAAUACGGAGGGUGCAAGCGUUAAUCGGAAUUACUGGGCGUAAAGCGCACGCAGGCGGUCUGUCAAGUCGGAUGUGAAAUCCCCGGGCUCAACCUGGGAACUGCAUUCGAAACUGGCGGGCUAGAGUCUUGUAGAGGGGGGUAGAAUUCCAGGUGUAGCGGUGAAAUGCGUAGAGAUCUGGAGGAAUACCGGUGGCGAAGGCGGCCCCCUGGACAAAGACUGACGCUCAGGUGCGAAAGCGUGGGGAGCAAACAGGAUUAGAUACCCGAGUAGUC
rnacentral:rRNA from 1 species